rnacentral:lncRNA from 1 species
AAAUAUCAAACAAGUCAAAAGGGUUUUUCUUUUCUCUCUAAAAAAAUUAAAAAACAAUACGCCAUAUAAGAUAAUUGGUUCAAAGGGACUAUUCUCAGGAAAAGAACCAAAAAUAAAAGGCGAGGAACCCAUCCUAAAAAAAUAAACGACUCAAUAAAACAGUAAAAACUAGAAAUCCAUUUCCCCGCCCCACACUUAAAAAAUGUUAUGUCCCCAAAACAUCAAUUAAAAUUUAAAACAAUGAUUAGAAAAACUCUCUAAGGCCUCUAAGCCUAGCUACUACAUGUUUUGUCAAUUUUCAUCAAAGGUAGUAUGCAC